rnacentral:rRNA from 1 species
UGGUGGCGAUAGCGAAGAGGUCACACCCGUUCCCAUACCGAACACGGAAGUUAAGCUCUUUAGCGCCAAUGGUAGUUGGGACUUUGUCCCUGUGAGAGUAGGACG